GCCCAAGUGCACCCUAAAAAGACGGAAAAACUAACAACAGCAACAAAACCACUGUAUAGAGAAACCCUGUAGUCUUCUGCCUCACUCCUCUUCAUAGGCUACCACACUCCUCCUUUCCCUGUUGCUUUAGGUGUUCAAAAAGAGCUUCUGCUGUUACUUUGCUUACUUCCUGAUGCGUCUCUGUUCCACCCGCGCUAAUGCCUUCCUGUUGGGGCCGACGAGGAUACCUCGAUCUUACAAAUCCACCACAAACCCACUCCACUUCCCCUUCCCCAUCUUCCCAAAGUUGUUAAAUCAUAGCUUUGGCUUAAUCAGUGUUUAUAUAAUGAUCAAUAUGUGUAAUUUUCACAGAGUCAAAACAUACAGUCUGACGCCUUUCUUGUAAAUGGGAUGAGCCCAUUGGACUUCAUCUGUACCAACGUAAUGACUCUUAAAAAUGUUUCCUUUUCUGAUUUUAAAAGUAAAACACGUUCACGUUGGACAUUUUAAUUCAGAAACAUCACAAGAAAGAACUGGAAAUCACUGCAGUCAUAGUCCCUGUAUAAACCGCUGCCCUCGCCAUCCCUCUGAUCCCUUGUCUUCUCUCCAAGGACCCAGUCAGCGCUGCCUGGCUAUCUGCACGGUGUCGCUGAGCUGCCCUUGACCCCUGAGGUGGCUUGGAGCAUCCACUCUCCCUGCUGCUGCCAUCUCGAGUCUGCCUCUGCCAGCUUGCAGAUCUCUGCUGCCGUGUCUCUCUGUACUUCUGGACCCAAGAAAAUCAAGGCGAGAGGCCAGGUGUUUCAAACCGCAUUCUGUAACAACAGUGCCAAGCCCACCUUGACUUCUGGCUACCACUCCACCCGGAGCACCGCCAAGGGAGCGCUGGUGACCGCCCUCAAGCCACUACCCCCCUCCCUCCGCCACUUCCUCUGUGAAACCUCUCCCUUCCCCCGCCUUGUUCUCCCUUCCUGCCUCUUGUUCACACUUAGAUCGGAGCACUUUUGACUAAGUGUUCUGCGCUCAUCUCCUCCCAGCCCUGAGAGGGCAGGAUGAAGAGCAAGCUGAAAUAUUCGCAGGAGGAAGGAGGGUUCCGCUGAGCCAGGCUGCACCGUGGUGCUUAAAUCCCAGGAAAGGGACUUUCUACUCAAACCAAAAGACCACAGGGAAGUGUGAUAUUUUCUUGGAGCAGGGUAGUGUGCCUUAAAAACGAGCCAGGUCGUCGUGUGAGAGUCGGAAGGGAAUGUGGCAAAACCAGUUAGGAAGGCACCUGCAGUGACCCUGCGCUGAGAUGUUAAGUGCACGGUGGAUGCAGUGACGUGGAGACGAAGCAGCACAUGCAAAAGGUAUUUCAAGAGAAAUAACAACAAGUGAGAUUCGCUGAGUUCCUGCGCUUUGCUGGGCUGGGCCAGCAAGGUGGUAACGGACUCGCCCCCAUCUCGCCCACGUGCAAGUAAGAUGUGGCCGGACUGAGCGAUUCUCCCGGGGUCACGGCGAGUGGCGUUGCGGAGCUUCCAGUGUAGGGCGUGGGGCUCGAAAGACCUCAGCUGCCCCAUCCCGGGCACCGCUGUCCGCGCUGCGGGGUGAGGACUCCUGAGCCGAGGCCUCAGCUCCUCGACUGAGCGAGGAGAGCCUCGCGGGGCCGGGCGCCCGCGUCCAGUGGCGCUUGGUCAAGCUGCCCGUCCGGGUCGGGACCUUCGAGCCCGGCACCUCCGGGCGGAAGAAGGCGCGUGGCGGCGGCAGGCGGGCCCCGGGGCGGAAGCGGCUGAGUCACCGCGGGGCCGGGACGCAGUCCCCGCAGAGGGGCUGACGCCGGCCGGCCGCACCUGCAGGUCCGUCGGGAAGCCGCCCUGACCGGAAGGGCUGAGUCCGCGCCGGCUGCGGGCGGCCCGAGCCGCCGGUGCCCAGGCCCCACCCGCGGGUCCCGGGCCACCCCCGCGCCGCCACCCGGCCGAUGCUGCCGAGGCUUGGACUCCGCGACCGAAACUUGACUUCUUGAAGCAGCGCCCAUCCGCAGGCGCUGCGUGCAGGGUUCAGGGCCAGCUCCGACCGUGUGAACGGAGACGACCGCGUCUCAAAGACUCAAAGGGUUUCGAACUCAAAGGGACUUGCCCAGGACCAGAACUGAUUCGCUGGACUCGCUUCCCGAAUUUAGUAAAUAACAGCGAAAACAAAACACUCGACGUCUUUUUGUAAUGCAAGAACAAAAUGUCCAGAUUCCAAGAGAAAAUAAAGCUUGGUUUCCGAGAUAAAGUUGCAACAGGAUGGGAGCACAGCAGAGGGAGCUUUCCGGAGAUCCCAGGCGAAUAAGAGCCGAAGGCGUUUCUCCAGCUGGUUCCCUCUUCUACCCUGCUGGGGCCUGCACGCAUUUUUACAUAAUAAUGUUUUAUUGUUUUUGUUGAAGUUUCUUUUUUAGUCAAAAACCGAUACUAUAGAAAUUGCUGGGGGACAGUGGAAUUACAGUCCCUCCACCAGAAACCACAGUUACUUUUGCUUCUUUCUUUAAGUUAAUGUUCACAGAAAGAUUUUUACAUAGCUGAGACAGAGCUGUCAUUUUCCAUUUCCUGUUUUCAGGUAGUGUUCUGUGACAUCGGCCCAUAUCCUACAGAUCUUCAGGAUCAUUAUUUUAAAAACUGCAUUAUUUAUUUAAACUACUGAAUUGUUGUUGGUGUGCUUGUAGGUUAUUUAUUGACUGUAGGUUGUUGUUGUUCUCACCGUUAACUUUAGGGUUAUUAUGCCUCGAUUGUCUUAUUAUUAUCUGGAUUAAAUAGCCAAUCCCUUGAAUUGGUAUUUUAAUUCCCUAAAAGACAGGGAUGUCUGAUAGAGCAGCUAGCAGGAACCCUUCGCAGGAAUGAUGUGCUUCACACCUCAAACUGCUGUAAUUCAUACGCUCUCUGGGCGGCAGGUUGCCUAUUGCGCCUCUGUUGUUCCCGGUCCUCCGCAGGGAAACAUUCUCACUGGGCAAAGCGAGGGAGAGUGACUGCCAACCACUGCAGGACAGGAAGGCUGAUUUUAAGAGUUGGCAUCAUUUCCCCAAAUGGGUUUUUGAUAUUUUAUCCCACCUGGAUAAUCACAGCCUCUCUUUAAUGCUGUAAGGUUUACAUUUUAAUAGACCGGGGUUCCUGUUGUGAUGCAGUGGCAGCGGAUCCGUAUCCAUGAGGACGAGGGUUUGAUCCUUGGCCUGGCUCAGUGGGUUGGCGAUCCAGUGUUGCCGUGAGCUGUGGUGUAGGUCUCAGACACAGCUCUGAUUUAACCCCUAGCCUCUAUAUGCCUUGGGUGCAGCCUUAAAAAAGCAAAAAAAAAAAAAAAAAAAAAGAAAAAGACCAGACCUUUCCAGGAGUUUGACAGAUGUGGGAUUCAGGGUUGUGUUUUAAGACAUUUUCAGAUUUUCAUCAAGCAGUUUCAAGUGCCACUGUUUACCGUCGUCUGUACGACUGCCUCAGUCUUAAGUUUUCUCAUCUGAAAAAUGGGAGUAUUAACAGCACAUACUUAAUAAAUUGCUGUGCGAAUGAAA